rnacentral:tRNA from 1 species
GCAUAUUGCUCAGUAGUAGAGCACUUGCCUAGCAUGUGCAAGCCCUUGGGUUCAAUCCCCAGUACUUGCA